rnacentral:rRNA from 1 species
UACAGAGGGUGCAAACGUUGUUCGGAAUUACUGGGCGUAAAGCGCGUGUAGGCUGCUUCGCAAGUCGGGUGUGAAAGCCCUGGGCUCAACCUAGGAAGUGCACUCGAAACUGCGAAGCUGGAGUCCUGGAGAGGAAGGCGGAAUUCCCGGUGUAGCGGUGAAAUGCGUAGAGAUCGGGAGGAACACCAGUGGCGAAGGCGGCUACCUGGACCAGCACUGACACUGAGGCACGAAAGCGUGGGGAGCAAACAGG